CCUACGGGAGGCAGCAGUGGGGAAUAUUGCACAAUGGGGGGAACCCUGAUGCAGCGACGCCGCGUGGGUGAAGGAGUAUUUCGGUAUGUAAAGCCCUAUCAGCAGGGAAGAACAAUGACGGUACCUGAUGAAUAAGCCACGGCUAACUACGUGCCAGCAGCCGCGGUAAUACGUAGGUGGCAAGCGUUAUCCGGAUUUACUGGGUGUAAAGGGCGUGUAGGCGGGAGUGCAAGUCUGAUGUGAAAGGUCGGGGCCCAACCCCGGGACUGCAUUGGAAACUGUUGAACUGGAGUACAGGAGAGGUAAGCGGAAUUCCUAGUGUAGCGGUGAAAUGCGUAGAUAUUAGGAGGAACACCAGUGGCGAAGGCGGCUUACUGGACUGUAACUGACGUUGAGGCUCGAAAGCGUGGGGAGCAAACAGGAUUAGAUACCCGAGUAGUC
rnacentral:rRNA from 1 species